GAUAAGGCGCUGUAUCAAAUGCAAGGAUUAUUAUUAUUAUUAUUAACACACGGUAUUCAGUAUCUCACUCAGAAGGAUGAAGUCAAACCAUUAGAAGUUCCAUUUGUUGACACAAGAUGGUGGUCAGUGAUCACGGUGCCUCUGGCCCUGUUGACGGCGGCUAUGCUUACCAGAGCUGUUCUUCUGUUACAGUUCCUGAAAGGCCGAGACAAAAGUAGUAAAUACAGCACGAUUACAGGGAAGAAAAUCAAAAUGAAAGUCAAAAAGACAAAAGGCGAUAAACAGAGAGACCGAAAUCGAGCGGAACUCCUCCAGUUCCUGAACUCUGCCAUGUAGAGGCGAUGAAUAGUGGGAUUCGUAAACCGUGAAAUACAGGAUCUGUCAUCAGCCUGGACUUUUGCCACUGAAGACCUGUCCGUGUCUUCAAUUGGAAAAACUCAGGGAAAAACCUCACAAAUCCAGAUCAGGUGGACGUUUCUGCUGUGGACACCGAGGAAGGUUGUGUUAUUGUCUGCUUUGCUGUUGAGCUCUGACGUUGUGACCAUCUGGAUUGUUUGAGAAAUGUAUAACUCCUGUAACAGGAAGGGGACUUGAGACACCGUUUAUAAUGUAUCCUGACUGCUUUUAUCAAAGGACUUCUUUGGGAAGGAAAGCUCUUCACGUAAUGACUGCGGAAAGUUGCCUGCUCGUUUUGGACAGAUAUUUUGAUAAGGAUUUUUUUUUUUUUUGUUCUGCACAGGCGAUGCUCACAUUCCAAACUGCUCGGAAAAAUUUGAGUUGCAUCGAUCUUGAUUAAUAAAAAAAGCAGGAAAUCGAGAUGUAGAUAGAUAUUGCAUCAUUUCGAGAAGCGUGAUUUCUAUAAACGUACAUCACUGGAUUUAAAGAUCAAAGAUCAAACCUUUCUGACUUGACAAUCAAAGUGGGCGUAAAAUUCGAGGGGUUUCGGCACGAUAUCCCCGGCUGUGUAAGUAAACGCGGAAAGGCAAUAAAACUAUCUUAAAAAUAAUGUCGGAUACGAAGGAUUCUUUAGGAAGCUGAUUCUUUCAAACACAGAUUGGAUAGUUUUCUUUUAGGAAAUAACAUUAUGUUCUUAUGGAGGAGACCUGCAACAUUCUAGUUAUACGUGAAAGAAUCUGUAUUUGAAAAAGAAA